rnacentral:misc_RNA from 1 species
UUGGGGGUUUGCGGGCCUUACAAAGGUCGGCUCUCCUGAAAUACAUUAGCGGAACCGUUUGCAGUCCCGUCACUAGUGUGAUAAUUAUCUACACUGUGAUGAUUGCUCUCUGACUAGUUCAGCUGCUAAUCGUCCACUAUCGGACAAUAUUUAAUGAACUUCUUGACCUCAAAUCAGGUAGGACUACCCGCUGAACUUAA